UGAGGAAAGGGAAGCCCAGAGAGGGUUUGUGACUUCCUCGAGGUUGCAUAGCCAGUAAGUGAUGGAGCCAGGAUUUGGACCCAGGCAGUCUGACCCCUAAGACCGUGCACUCUUAACCGCUCCUCUACUUCUUGUUGCAGGGGCUGCACCUCCCAGCACAGCGUUGCCUGUCCAGGCCCUGACCAGAGCAGACCCAGCUGAGGGCUGUUGCAAGGAGACCCAGCGCGGCAGCCCAGGGGUGUAACGUGGACUGCUGAGCCCUCUGACCUCGGACCUCAGUCCUGGGUGCUUUUGAGGAUAAAAUGAGAUCUUCCACAUCAGUCUGAUCGGCGUGUACUUGGCAGUCAGUACAUGGUGGCUGUUGGCGUCUUGACCACAGUGGUGACUGUAGCCCACUUCCCUCGCUAUGCCAAGCACAGGGCGUUCUGGGCCACCAGGUCACGGCGGUCUGACCUCUGUCUGCGUUCAGUAUAAAUUUGGCUGGUGGACUUGACUUUCACAUGAGGACCAGGCACCCACACAUGGCUUUGCUGCCGACACCGCUGAGCCUCACUUUGCAGACCUGCCUGACUUCUGUGAGGUCUCGAGGUCUGAGCCUCAGUUUCCCUUUUAAUUAACAGGGAUACUAACUUGCUUGUGAACACGCUCUAUAAACUGCUUUUUAAUAUGG